rnacentral:rRNA from 1 species
UACAGAGGGUGCGAGCGUUAAUCGGAGUUACUGGGCGUAAAGCGUGCGUAGGCGGUGUUGUAAGUUUGGUGUGAAAUCUCCCGGCUCAACUGGGAGGGUGCGCCGAAAACUGCAAGGCUGGAGUAUGGGAGAGGUAGGCGGAAUUCCUGGUGUAGCGGUGAAAUGCGUAGAUAUCAGGAGGAACACCAGUGGUGUAGACGGCUUACUGGACCAUGACUGACGCUGAGGCACGAAAGCGUGGGGAGCAAACAGG